AUUCAAACUACUCAGUAUUUCCUUGUUUCAGUUUAACAUAAUGUGUGUUGCGGUAGCGGAAGUUGGGAUUUUCCCAGCAUGCACUGGUUAGCAUAUUUGCUGAUAAAACUACCAGUUAAUGCCGUUUCUUGCAUGAUAUGUGGUUUACACUCAUUGAUGUUACUGUUCUUUAUGUCUUUUAUGAAAUC